CGCGGGCGGGUGCCCGAAGGAGGCGACGUGACGCGCGCGAGAGGGACCCCGCUGGGAGGGACCUGGAAACCAGGAGGACCCGAAGGGAGACCUAGCUUGAGGAUGGGACACGACGUGGAGGAUCUCCGGGCGCCUGUGAGGAGAACCCUACGCUGAGGGGUUUAAGAAGAAAUCAGCGCGCGUGGACGAGAGACAGCUGGUGACGCUGAGUAACUCUGCCUGCGACCAGGCUCGCGUGCCCUGUUCAUCUCCCUGCAAGCCCGAGAGAUUUGUACACACGAGCCCGGGUCGGAGCAGUAGAGACGACGGGGCAGAGAGUCGCGCCCACCCUGGUGGUCUUCCCGGAAGUGCGCCCGCUUCCCUUCCCUUUGCGCCGCCUCCCAGAAGUUGUGGGGUACAGGGUAAUGGGCUUCUUCCGGCCUGCUCCCCAAUUCCUUGAGUCUCGAGUUUAUGAAUGUGUAGAAUCACCUGCAGAACCUGUUCAAAGGGAGAGUUGAACUGUUUCCCCAACCCAAGUAAUUCAGUAAGGUGUGGGUGUGCAUUUUAACAAGGACUCUGCAUUUUA